rnacentral:rRNA from 1 species
ACUCCUGCGGGAGGCAGCAGUGGGGAAUAUUGCACACUGGGCGCAAGCCUGAUGCAGCCAUGCCGCGUGUAUGAAGAAGGCCUUCGGGUUGUAAAGUACUUUCAGCGGGGAGGAAGGCGAUAAGGUUAAUAACCUUGUCGAUUGACGUUACCCGCAGAAGAAGCACCGGCUAACUCCGUGCCAGCAGCCGCGGUAAUACGGAGGGUGCAAGCGUUAAUCGGAAUUACUGGGCGUAAAGCGCACGCAGGCGGUCUGUCAAGUCGGAUGUGAAAUCCCCGGGCUCAACCUGGGAACUGCAUUCGAAACUGGCAGGCUAGAGUCUUGUAGAGGGGGGUAGAAUUCCAGGUGUAGCGGUGAAAUGCGUAGAGAUCUGGAGGAAUACCGGUGGCGAAGGCGGCCCCCUGGACAAAGACUGACGCUCAGGUGCGAAAGCGUGGGGAGCAAACAGGAUUAGAAACCCGUGUAGUCCCAUG